rnacentral:rRNA from 1 species
UAGGGAAUCUUCGGCAAUGGACGAAAGUCUGACCGAGCAACGCCGCGUGAGUGAAGAAGGUUUUCGGAUCGUAAAACUCUGUUGUUAGAGAAGAACAAGGACGUUAGUAACUGAACGUCCCCUGACGGUAUCUAACCAGAAAGCCACGGCUAACUACGUGCCAGCAGCCGCGGUAAUACGUAGGUGGCAAGCGUUGUCCGGAUUUAUUGGGCGUAAAGCGAGCGCAUGCGGUUUCUUAAGUCUGAUGUGAAAGCCCCCGGCUCAACCGGGGAGGGUCAUUGGAAACUGGGAGACUUGAGUGCAGAAGAGGAUAGUGGAAUUCCAUGUGUAGCGGUGAAAUGCGUAGAUAUAUGGAGGAACACCAGUGGCGAAGGCGGCUCUCUGGUCUGUAACUGACGCUGAGGCUCGAAAGCGUGGGGAGCAAACAGG